AUUGAACGCUGGCGGCAUGCCUUACACAUGCAAGUCGAACGGCAGCACGGACUUCGGUCUGGUGGCGAGUGGCGAACGGGUGAGUAAAGUAUCGGAACGUGCCUAGUAGUGGGGGAUAACUAGUCGAAAGAUUAGCUAAUACCGCAUACGACCUACGGGUGAAAGUGGGGGAUCGCAAGACCUCAUGCUAUUAGAGCGGCCGAUAUCAGAUUAGCUAGUUGGUGGGGUAAAGGCCCACCAAGGCAACGAUCUGUAGCUGGUCUGAGAGGACGCCCAGCCACACUGGGAGUGAGACACGGCCCAGACUCCUACGGGAGGCAGCAGUGGGGAAUUUUGGACAAUGGGGGCAACCCUGAUCCAGCAAUGCCGCGUGUGUGAAGAAGGCCUUCGGGUUGUAAAGCACUUUUGUCAGAGAAGAAAACUGUUGCGCUAAUAUCGCGACGGGAUGACGGUAUCUGAAGAAUAAGGACCGGCUAACUACGUGCCAGCAGCCGCCGUAA
rnacentral:rRNA from 1 species